UACGAAGGGGGCGAGCGUUGUUCGGAAUUACUGGGCGUAAAGCGCACGUAGGCGGCUUUGUAAGUUAGAGGUGAAAGCCCAGGGCUUAACCCUGGAAUUGCCUUUAAGACUGCAUCGCUAGAAUCGUGGAGAGGUGAGUGGAAUUCCGAGUGUAGAGGUGAAAUUCGUAGAUAUUCGGAAGAACACCAGUGGCGAAGGCGACUCACUGGACACGUAUUGACGCUGAGGUGCGAAAGCGUGGGGAGCAAACAGG
rnacentral:rRNA from 1 species